GGCAACAUUGGAAAUCGUGUAUGGGUCUUGGCCGGUUUGGCUUGCUGGUGAUUGGAGAGAGAGGGCAGCUGGCUUCUUUGUCGAAUUUUUUCGGCACUUGUCGAAACUGUUCUUGAAAUGAUUGAAUUUUCUAAUAACUCAACUCUUGGACUGAUUCUCUCUUCUCUUGUCCCCAUUGUCAUCAAGCCCCAUCUCAGGUUGACUCCAGGACAAGUUUACGCAACGGAUCACGGCGUGUUUGGUUAUGAAAUAACUUAUGAUUUAACUAACUUAACUAGUUAGUGUUUGGCUGUGAGCAUUUCUGCUUUGGCAUCGUCAGUUGAG
rnacentral:sRNA from 2 species